UUCACUUCCAGCACUUCACUUCUAGCUUGAAGCUGAAACCAUGAGGUGUCUUAUUAUCGCAGCCCUUUGUCUGGUUACUUUAGCCCUGGUUGAUGCCGAGGGAUGCCAAGGCCAUGAUACCAGCACCUGCAGGCAUGAAAGCUGCGACGCCCUCUCGACCUUGACUUGAGUGAGGGGAACCUGCACGUGCCUGGUGUCCAGCUGUGGAACCCAUCCAGCACCUAAAGGUAGACAUCUGGAUUCAGUACACGUGGUCCUCAGAGUGAUGGCGAUGUUUCACGUUCUUGGAGACAUCAUUCAUAAACUCAGUUCUACU